GCUGGAGUUACAGCCACGUGCCACCAUGCUUGGCUAAUUUUUGUAUUUUUAGCAGAGACGGGGUUUCACCAUGUUGGUCAGGCUGAUCUCGAACUGCUGACCUUGAUUAGCUGGGUGUGGUGGCGUGUGCCUGUAGUCCCAGCUACUUGGGAGGCUGAGGCAGGAGAAUCGCUUGAACCUGGGAGGCAUAGGUUGCAGUGAACCCAGAUCUUGCCACUGCAUGCCAGCCCGCCAUUCUCCUUCCUCAGCCUCCCGAGUAGCUGGGACUACAGAUGCCUGCUACCAUGCCCGGUUAAUUGUUUUGUAUUUUUAGUAGAGACGGGGUUUCACUGUGUUAGCCAGGAUGGUCUCGAUCUCCUGACCUCGUGAUCCGCCCGCCUCGGC
rnacentral:lncRNA from 1 species